GGGGGUGAAGAGAACGAUACGGGAAACACCCAGACCCAUACCGAACCUGACGGUUAAGCCGUAUCGUGCCGAUGGUAGUACGAUUCAUUCGUGCAAGAGUAGGUAUCGCCCCCU
rnacentral:rRNA from 1 species